rnacentral:rRNA from 1 species
UACAGAGGUCUCAAGCGUUGUUCGGAUUCAUUGGGCGUAAAGGGCUCGUAGGUGGCCAACUAAGUCGGACGUGAAAUCCCUCGGCUUAACCGGGGAACUGCGUCCGAUACUGGUUGGCUUGAGUUUGGGAGAGGGAUGCGGAAUUCCAGGUGUAGCGGUGAAAUGCGUAGAUAUCCGGAGGAACGCCGGUGGCGAAGGCGGCUGCCUGGACCGACACUGACGCUGAGGCGCGAAAGCUAGGGGAGCAAACGGG